rnacentral:rRNA from 1 species
AACGAACGCUGGCGGCAGGCUUAACACAUGCAAGUCGAACGGUUGUAGCAAUACAGCAGUGGCAGACGGGUGAGUAACACGUGGGAACCUUCCUAGGGGUACGGAACAACUCAGGGACACUUGAGCUAAUACCGUAUACGUCCGUGAGGAGAAAGAUUUAUCGCCCUUAGACGGGCCCGCGUCGGAUUAGCUAGUUGGUGGGGUAACGGCCUACCAAGGCGACGAUCCGUAGCUGAUCUUAGAGGAUGAUCAGACACACUGGGACUGAGACACGGCCCAGACUCCUACGGGAGGCAGCAGUGGGGAAUCUUGGACAAUGGGCGCAAGCCUGAUCCAGCCAUGCCGCGUGAGUGAAGAAGGUCUUCGGAUUGUAAAGCUCUUUUGCCAGGGACGAUAAUGACGGUACCUGGAGAAUAAGCCCCGGCAAACUUCGUGCCAGCCGCCGCAGUAA